CAAGACAGUACAAAAAACUGUAACUACAGUUAUAUUCUAAUUUUUCUUUUUUUUUUUUUUUUUUUUUUUUUUCACAGGAUAGGAUUCCCAGUUCACUGAUUUUACAUUUUCUGUUUUAACCAGUUUUGCAAGUGUCUAAAGAUGAUCUUAAAGAUUCUUCUUAGCAUAUGAACCACACACAAUGAUAUUUCUUGACACAGCAUGAGAGUUACAUUUAGCUGAUACGGCCAAGAAUGCAAUUUUCUUUAUCAUGUAAAGAUUUCAAGGUCUAAUGAAAAGGACAAAAACCCAUCAAAGUUCACAUACAACUUUAACAGUAUCAGCUAUCAGCUAGCUCUAUUUUUCCAUUUGGCUGCUACUGAAAUUUUUUUACCAUUGAAUGUGAUGUGAAGUGAAGAUCUUUGGCAUUUACCUUCCAGACAAGAAUACUAAUAUCAUAUUGGGAAUUGCGGAAAGCAGAGACAGGAGAGAUGCUUGCUCCCAUGGCUAUCUCACUAUUAAUCUGAAUAAAGCCUGAACA